UACGGGAGGCAGCAGUAGGGAAUCUUCCGCAAUGGACGAAAGUCUGAGAGAGCAACGCCGCGUGAGUGAUGAAGGUUUUCGGAUCGUAAAGCUCUGUUGUUAGGGAAGAACAAGUGCCGUUCGAAUAGGGCGCCACCUUGACGGUACCUAACCAGAAAGCCACGGCUAACUACGUGCCAGCAGCCGCGGUAAUACGUAGGUGGCAAGCGUUGUCCGGAAUUAUUGGGCGUAAAGGGCUCGCAGGUGGUUUCUUAAGUCUGAUGUGAAAGCCCCCGGCUCAACCGGGGAGGGUCAUUGGAAACUGGGGAACUUGAGUGCAGAAGAGGAGAGUGGAAUUCCACGUGUAGCGGUGAAAUGCGUAGAGAUGUGGAGGAACACCAGUGGCGAAGGCGACUCUCUGGUCUGAGACUGACGCUGAGGAGCGUCAGCGUGGGGAGCGAACAGGAUUAGAUACCCUGGUAGUCCACGCCGUAAACGAUGAGUGCUAAGUGUUAGGGGGUUUCCGCCCCUUAGUGCUGCAGCGCACGCAUUAAGC
rnacentral:rRNA from 1 species